UUCAGCAACAGGUGAAGGAACACCUGCAUCAGUCCAACACUUACCAGGGACACAGAGCCUAGAAUGGUCAGCUGCAGGUUAAGGGACAUCUAGCACCACAUGUAGCAUUCCAGUUACUAGUCAAACACUGACCAGGGAUACUGAGCCUGGAAUGGAUGAAGGAGCAACAGGCACAACCAGCUCUGCUUCGACACUACAGCCUGCAGACAAACACCCCAUCACCCUCAACAAGUGCUGAAGGAGCAACAGGCACAACCAGCUCUGCUUCUACACUACAGCCUGCAGACAGACACCCCAUCACCCUCAACAAGUGCUGAAGGAGCAACAGGGACUGGCAGUACCUUGCAGCUAGUUAAGACUCUCCUGUCUCACAUCUGCAGGAGUUCAUCCUCUUGGAG